GGAGACGUGGCCGAGCGGUCGAAGGCGCUCCCCUGCUAAGGGAGUGGGCGGGAAACCGCCCCGAGGGUUCGAAUCCCUUCGUCUCCGCCA
rnacentral:tRNA from 1 species